rnacentral:tRNA from 2 species
GGGUCUAUAGUUUUAAUGGUAAAACAUCGGUCUCCAAAACCGAGGUUCCAGGUUCGAGUCCUGGUGGACCCGCAA